rnacentral:rRNA from 3 species
UUAUGAUUUAAACUUAAUAAUAUUGUAGCCUAUAAUAGAGCUCUAGAUAAGAGCU